rnacentral:rRNA from 1 species
AACGAACGCUGGCGGCAGGCUUAACACAUGCAAGUCGAGCGCCCCGCAAGGGGAGCGGCAGACGGGUGAGUAACGCGUGGGAAUCUAACCAUCUCUACGGAGUAACGCAUGGAAACGUGUGCUAAUACCGUAUACGUCCUUCGGGAGAAAGAUUUAUCGGAGAUGGAUGAGCCCGCGUUGGAUUAGCUAGUUGGUGGGGUAAAGGCCUACCAAGGCGACGAUCCAUAGCUGGUCUGAGAGGAUGAUCAGCCACACUGGGACUGAGACACGGCCCAGACUCCUACGGGAGGCAGCAGUGGGGAAUAUUGGACAAUGGGCGCAAGCCUGAUCCAGCCAUGCCGCGUGAGUGAUGAAGGCCCUAGGGUUGUAAAGCUCUUUCACCGGUGAAGAUAAUGACGGUAACCGGAGAAGAAGCCCCGGCUAACUUCGUGCCAGCCGCCGCAGUAACAC